rnacentral:rRNA from 1 species
CAGGAACGCUGGCGGCAGGCUUAACACAUGCAAGUCGAGCGCCCCGCAAGGGGAGCGGCAGACGGGUGAGUAACGCGUGGGAAUCUACCCAUCUCUACGGAAUAACGCAUGGAAACGUGUGCUAAUACCGUAUACGUCCUUCGGGAGAAAGAUUUAUCGGAGAUGGAUGAGCCCGCGUUGGAUUAGCUAGUUGGUGGGGUAAAGGCCUACCAAGGCGACGAUCCAUAGCUGGUCUGAAAGGAUGACCAGCCACACUGGGACUGCGACACGGCCCAGACUCCUACGGGAGGCAGCAGUGGGGAAUAUUGGACAAGGGGAGCAAGCCGGAUCCAGCCAUGCCGCGUGAGUGAUGAAGGCCCUAGGCGUGUAAAGCUCUUUCACCGGUGAAGAUAAUGACGGUAACCGGAGAAGAAGCCCCGGCUAACUUCGUGCCAGCCGCCGCCGUAAAAC